rnacentral:ncRNA from 2 species
UAACAUUAAGGUGAUGAGGUUCCACCUUUAACCGUCAGUGAUUACUGAAUGAUGACUUCUAUUUUUCA